rnacentral:lncRNA from 13 species
AUGCCAGGAGGUCAUGGCCCCCUAAGGCAGGGAGCCCUUUGGGGAUUGUCUUGCAGUCACCUCAGAGUUCUGGUGCAUAGGACAGCACCUGGCUUGGAAGAGAAACUCACUGAAUGUUUGAAGAAGUCAAUAAUCCUAACAGCAUAUAAGAACCUACUAAGAAAAGAUGAAGUCUCACUGUCGCCAGGCUGGGGUGCAGUGGCAAGAUCUUGGCUCACGACAACUUCUGCUUCCUGGGUUCAAGCGUUUCUCCUGCUUCAGCCUCCUGAGCAGCUGGGACGACAGGCAUGCACCACCACGCCUGGUUAGUUUUGUAUUUUUAGUAGAGACGGAGUUUCAUCAUGUUGGUCAGGAUGGUCUCGAUCUCUUGGUCUUGUGAUCCGCCUGCCUCGGCCUCCCAAAGUGCUGGGAUUACAGGUGUGAGCCACCAAACCCCGCCCCGUCUAAACUGUUAACAAACUAACCAAGAGUGAGCUUUUAGGGCAAGAGGACAUUGUUCCAGGGCAGAGCUGAGCAGGCAGUUCUGUUUGAGGGACGGCCAGCGGGACUGCUCACUGAAAAGGAAGCAAUCCCAGGGGGUCUGACUUCAAGAACUCUAACAAAAGAGCUUCAAGACUGAGCAAGUGGUCAACAGAGCCAGAGCCUGGGUGGAGGCGUGCUGUGAGACGAGGACUGAAACUGUUCCCCUGGUUCUCAUGGGUAAGUGGUCCCUGGUGGUUUGGGGGAUUGUAUGCUCGUUGGAUCUAAGAACAUCAGCAACUUGGGAAUCUGUGGAACCCAAGUUAGAGUGUAGACUACUCUUUUUUGCCUGCUGAAAAAUGAGAGAGAGAAAUUAGACGAUAGAGAUAUGGGGUCAAGGAAAGAGUCUUUCAGGGUGGAGGACAUCUGAGCCCACUGCCUCCUGGAGGAGAGGGGCUGGAAGAGAGGAAGCAGUUAAAGGAACGGGGUGUGUGUGUGUGUGUGUGUGUGUGUGUGUGUGUCCAUGUGGAUGUAUCUGUGUGUGUCUGUCUCACUCUCUGUGUUGGUAUGUGUGUAUGCUUGUGUGUUUCUCUCCAUGUCUCCAUGUGUAUGUUUGUCUGUGUGUGUGUCUGUGUUUUGUGUGUCUAAAAGUGUGCCUGUUUCUGUGUUUGUGUCUGUAUCUGUGUUUGUGUGUCUGAAUGUGUGUCUGUGUCUGUGUGUAUCUGUGUGUAUGCCUGUGACUAUGUGUGUGUCUUUGUGUGUAUGUGUCGGUGUGUCUGUGUAUGUGUUUCUAUGUAUCUAUGUGUCUGUGUGUCUGUGAGUACAUGUCUCUGUCUGUGUGUCUGAGUGC